UACGUAGGGUGCAGGCGUUGUCCGGAAUUAUUGGGCGUAAAGAGCUCGUAGGCGGUUUGUCGCGUCGAAUGUGAAAACCCGGGGCUCAACCCCGGGCCUGCAUUCGAUACGGGCAGACUAGAGUUCGGUAGGGGAGUCUGGAAUUCCUGGUGUAGCGGUGAAAUGCGCAGAUAUCAGGAGGAACACCGGUGGCGAAGGCGGGACUCUGGGCCGAUACUGACGCUGAGGCGCGAAAGCGUGGGGAGCAAACAGG
rnacentral:rRNA from 1 species